CUGUGCUGUGGACUCAGGAGACAGAGCUCGGGGCAUCUCCACCAUGGCCUGGACUCCUCUCCUGCUCCCCCUCCUCACUCUCUGCACAGGUGC
rnacentral:pre_miRNA from 1 species